CCCAGUGGCGGACGGGUGAGUAACGCGUGGGCAACCUGCCCCGUGCCGGGGGAUACCGCCUGGAAACAGGCGCUAAUACCGCAUAAGCGCAUACAGCCGCAUGGGUGUAUGCGGAAAGCUCCGGCGGCACGGGAUGGGCCCGCGCCCGAUUAGCCAGUUGGCGGGGUAACGGCCCACCAAAGCGGCGAUCGGUAGCCGGCCUGAGAGGGCGGACGGCCACAUUGGGACUGAGACACGGCCCAAACUCCUACGGGAGGCAGCAG
rnacentral:rRNA from 1 species